UCUAGCCUUAGCCCUUGACUCAUAUGGCUUUCUUUCAAACUGACUCAUCGGGAAGCUUCAUCUCAAAGCAUGAGACUAGGUUUACACUGAGAGCCUAAUAAAGGACAACUUCAUUGAGACUGCUAGAAAGAAGAAAGAUCAAUAUAGUACUUACUUUAAGUAUAAGCUAAGCACCUCUUGCAUAAUCAACUGCUUGGUAGUCAGAUAGAGAAGAACUUGGAAAAUUC
rnacentral:lncRNA from 1 species